GACAGAGGGUGCAAGCGUUGUUCGGAAUUACUGGGCGUAAAGCGCGUGUAGGCUGCUCAGAAAGUCGGAUGUGAAAGCCCUGGGCUUAACCUAGGAAGUGCAUUCGAAACUUCUGAGCUUGAGUUCUGGAGAGGAAGGCGGAAUUCUCGGUGUAGAGGUGAAAUUCGUAGAUAUCGAGAGGAACACCGGUGGCGAAGGCGGCCUUCUGGACAGUGACUGACGCUGAGACGCGAAAGCGUGGGGAGCAAACAGG
rnacentral:rRNA from 1 species